rnacentral:rRNA from 1 species
AUUCCCCCAGUAGCGGCGAGCGAACGGGGAGCAGCCCAGAGCCUGAAUCAGUGUGUGUGUUAGUGGAAGCGUCUGGAAAGGCGCGCGAUACAGGGUGACAGCCCCGUACACAAAAAUGCACAUACUGUGAGCUCGAUGAGUAGGGCGGGACACGUGGUAUCCUGUCUGAAUAUGGGGGGACCAUCCUCCAAGGCUAAAUACUCCUGACUGACCGAUAGUGAACCAGUACCGUGAGGGAAAGGCGAAAAGAACCCCGGCGAGGGGAGUGAAAAAGAACCUGAAACCGUGUACGUACAAGCAGUGGGAGCCUCUUUAUGGGGUGACUGCGUACCUUUUGUAUAAUGGGUCAGCGACUUAUAUUCUGUAGCAAGGUUAACCGAAUAGGGGAGCCGAAGGGAAACCGAGUCUUAACUGGGCGUUAAGUUGCAGGGUAUAGACCCGAAACCCGGUGAUCUAGCCAUGGGCAGGUUGAAGGUUGGGUAACACUAACUGGAGGACCGAACCGACUAAUGUUGAAAAAUUAGCGGAUGACUUGUGGCUGGGGGUGAAAGGCCAAUCAAACCGGGAGAUAGCUGGUUCUCCCCGAAAGCUAUUUAGGUAGCGCCUCGUGAAUUCAUCUCCGGGGGUAGAGCACUGUUUCGGCAAGGGGGUCAUCCCGAC